rnacentral:lncRNA from 1 species
CACCAUCCCGGGCACCGCAUCCGCUGCAGCCAACAACCGUGCCGGAACUGUUCCUUUGAAUUUCGGCGCGAGCAAAGGACCCCAACUCCGAGGCGUCUGCGCUCUGUUGGUGCCUAGUAUCUGCCUGACUGAAGCGCUUCCUCUUUUGCCCUAAGGAAAAACACAGAAACGACAUAGCGACAAUAAAUAAUAGUUUUAAUAUUGGAAUGGCCCUUUCAGGCUAUCGGUCGGAGCCUUGGCUUCUGUCCGCAGGCUCCGCCCCCUCCCGGUCUACGCUCUUUGCUGCGGGGCGCGGCCGGGGCGGGCCGGGGCGGGGGCGGGCCGGGGGUCCCGGGACCCUUCGAGGAUAUUACAGGGUGGAAACCAACACUAGUGAGAAAAGUCCUCUGAGGCUUCAUUUUCUACUAAUUGAAGAGAAAGGCACUGGCUUUGAAAACACAAACCAAAACCAGUUCCAGUUUCCGGAGGGGACUGUAGGCCUGCAGUAUGUGGAGUUUGGUGGAAGAUGCUAGGCAAACGGCGAUUUUCAUCUCUUGCACGAUUGCAGCGAAGCACCAACUGAUGACAAAAGGAAGUACUUCAAAAUUUUGCUAGUGAAUAUGUGGAUUGAAUGCCCAGAAGCAGUUAUGAAGCAUUUAGUGUGCCAUCUGAACUUUAACUUUGAUAUUCCUAAUGUAUUGAUGUUUACAUCUUCAUCUAUCUUCUUAUAACCACUUACGUAUUCAUUUAACUCUUUAUACACUUCUGACAUAUGUUCGUUUUAUGGUAGACCGUUUGACACAUAUCCAUGUUAAACACCUAUUAAAAAUGACCAAACAUUGGUUAAUAUGAGC